rnacentral:lncRNA from 1 species
UGUGGCGGUGUGCCAGGUCUUGGCCCCACUAAGAAAAACCCCUUUUGCCCCAAGGUGCAAGUGCUGGUGAGACCAUCACUGAUAUCCAGAGCUCCACAGGUGAGGACAAGCUUGAGGGUGUUACGGCUGCAUGGGCAUGUCCUGCUCCCUGCCUCUCCCCAUCACACCCCGCUGCCCUCACACCCUCUCUCCCCCAGCUCCCCAUGCCCGGAUCCCGCACACACUCCCCACAGGCACGGUGCUGGCAGUGGCAGCCGUCGGCCUUGUCCUCCUGUCUGCAGGCAGCUGGUUUGCCAUCAGGAAAUGUGCCUGCAGAGGGAGAUGCCCAAGGCAUCAGCACAUUGACAGACCACAGAUGGAAGACACCAGCAACGGCGAAGUCCAGUGUGAGUACUACCUCCUCCCUUGGGGGAAGCCACAUGCCCCUCUGACCAUGGUCACCCCUGCUUAUGCAUUCCCCAUGCAAUCCCACCACUUCAUCUCCCACUGGGACAUACAAAAUCCCUGCCCGUUCAUCAAGACCAGGUUUCUCUCCAGCACCUCAUGUCCUGCUUCUUCCUUGCAUGCAGAGUGCGUGCGGCUGCACAAGGGACAUGGCAGCAUCCCAGUGCUCCCAGGGACAAAGCCCAUUUGCUUGGGGGAUCCUUCCACACCAGCUCCGGCCUCAGGCAGCAUUUCCCCUGCUUCAGCCUCUGCUUUUGUCCUUUCUUCAGUUUCCUGUCAGAGGAAUUUCUGCUCAGAGAAGCAAAAAGCACCGCGCAGCAAUGAAAGAUGUGGCUCCUUGCCCUGGUGGGGAAAGCAUUUUAUAGUUUGCUCUGAAACCACAAGCAGCACCAAAGAGAGGAUGUUGUGGUUGGGUGACAGGCUAUAGAUAUAUCCCCACCCUACUUGCACCUCGCUCAUGUUGCAGCACAACCUUGUUUUCCCACGCCUGCACAGAGCAGCUCGCAAGGUGUGCUGGCUGUGCAAAGAGAGGAGAUUCCACAGAAAGCUGGAAAUACACCAAAACCUCAGCAUCUCUGCUCCAUCGCUGCUGCUUAAUUUUCAUCCCAGAUCAGGGUGAUGGGAGAGGAAAUGUGGCCAGGCAUUGAGAGCUGACCUCAGGCAGCUGCUGACCAAGGUCAGUGUGAGUUUCAGCCCUCCACCAACAGGCAGCAAGGGAUCAUGGUGUGUUUUUUUUGCCCUCACAGACUCCACCAUCACCCACGUUCGAUGGGACAGGGUGAGUCAUGGCACAGCUGUGCACAGCUCCUUUCUGCACUCCUGCAGCCUGGUGCACGCACAUUGUGCAGGGCUCACAGUCAGC